UACGGAGGGUGCAAGCGUUAUCCGGAUUCACUGGGUUUAAAGGGUGCGUAGGUGGGAAUGUAAGUCAGUGGUGAAAUCUCCGUGCUUAACACGGAAACUGCCAUUGAUACUAUGUUUCUUGAAUUUCUGGAGGUUAGCGGAAUAUGUCAUGUAGCGGUGAAAUGCUUAGAUAUGACAUAGAACACCAAUUGCGAAGGCAGCUAACUACAGGGAUAUUGACACUGAGGCACGAAAGCGUGGGGAUCAAACAGG
rnacentral:rRNA from 1 species